GAUUUAGUGGUUUACUAAAAUUAAAAUUAUUUUGACGAUUCAGUUCCUUGUUUCUCGUUGUUGUGCGAAAGCUUUCUCUCCCCGCGUGUGCCGGCUUCGUGUCUCUGUUGGAGAAGUCGACGGACGCAGACGGAGCAGUAGUUGUUCACGGUGAUUCUCGGCUGGAGGUUUCCCGGUGGUUCUCGGCUUUGUUGGAGGUUCCGGCGCUAUUCUUCUUCGUCGUUUGUGGCAGUCGAUUGUGAGGGAUUUGCAGGGGUGGUGCGGCUAUGGCAGAAGGUUCAACUCGCCGCCGGCGAAGUAGGUCGUCGGCGUCGAAUCCAGCAAAAAAGGGCUAGGGUUGCACCGGUGGUGGCGUCUUCGUCCCUCUUCCCUGAUGAUGAUGACGAUUUCGUUAAAGGCCCUGUUCCAUCCUUACAAAGGAAUAGACAGGAUCCACCACGUGAGGUCCCGAAUAAUGUGUUAACUGCUGAUGAACGAGAAAGGUUUCCCCAUGCUAAACUUAGGGUGCGACCUUCUUCUAUCGAUGAAAAAUGCUGCCCCAUAUAUGGUUUCUUGGAUUGAUCACACUCUGGGAUAAAGUAAUUACCAUUUCCUUGGCAAGUCUGUACACCCGGUGCCUCAGUAUUCCCUUCAUGUCCAUUUGGGCAAUCGAUUCACACGUUCAGCCAUACAAUAUUUCACUUAGUGGCACACAAAUUAUCAAUCAAACAAAUUAUUUGCCAUAAGGUCUAUAACUACAAUAGAUGCACUUGUAUCAAUAAGCUUCUGUAUUAAUUUUUUCACUUGUUAUCAAAACUUAUAUUACUUCCUUCCGUUACAAACAAAUAACACCAAAUAAUUAAGAAA